GACUACGUGGCGCAACUGACAAGCGCGUCCGACUCCAGAUCGGAAGGUUGCGGGUUCGAAUCCCGUCGUAGCCCA